GUGCCAGCAGCCGCGGUAAAACGUAGGAGACAAACGUUAUCCGGAGUUACUGGGCGUAAAGGGCGUGUAGGUGGUAGAGUAAGUCUGGCGUGAAAUUUUUCGGCUUAACCGGGAAAGGUCGUCGGAUACUGCUUAACUAGAGGACGGUAGAGGCGUGUGGAAUUCCGGGUGUAGUGGUGAAAUGCGUAGAGAUCCGGAGGAACACCAGUGGCGAAGGCGACACGCUGGGCCGUACCUGACACUGAUGCGCGACAGCAUGGGGAGCAAACAGGAUUAGAAACCCUGGUAGUCC
rnacentral:rRNA from 1 species